rnacentral:rRNA from 1 species
GACGAACGCUGGCGGCGUGCUUAACACAUGCAAGUCGAACGGAAAGGCCUGCUUUCCCUUGUGGAUUGCGGGUACUCGAGUGGCGAACGGGUGAGUAACACGUGAGUGAUCUGCCCCCAACUUGGGUAUAAGCCUGGGAAACUGGGUCUAAUUCCCGAUAGGACUGCAGGGUGGUGCCUGUGGUGGAAAACGAUUUUCUAGUGGUUGGGGAUGAGCUCGCGGCCUAUCAGCUUGUUGGUGGGGUAAUGGCCUACCAAGGCGGCGACGGGUAGCCGGCCUGAGAGGGUGGACGGCCACAUUGGGACUGAGAUACGGCCCAGACUCCUACGGGAGGCAGCAGUGGGGAAUAGUGCACAAUGGGCGGAGGCCUGAUGCAGCGACGCCGCGUGGGGGAUGACGGCCUUCGGGUUGUAAACUCCUUUCGACCGCGAGGAAGCCACCUGGUUGGAAGGGUGGUGACGGUAGUGGUAGAAGAAGCACCGGCUAACUACGUG